GCAGGAGCUAAAAGGCACAGUAGGAGAAAUAAAGAUGUGCAUUUCAAAGCACAAGCCUGACACUCUGCAGACCUCAUCUUCAUAAAACAUCAGUUCUCAAAUUCAAGAACCAUGCUCUGCUCAAGGAAGUAAGCAGGUAGUCGAUUACAUCAAUUUGGGGGAGGGGGUGCGGAUCAAGAGAAGCCAGUUUGAUAGGAUCAACACCCAAGAUUUAAAAAAAUUUACCAGCGAGCUUUUCCUUGUAACCUUUGGGCGAGAAACUCUUGCCACUCACUCUCUAAAUGGAAGAAAGGCACCCAAUGCAGAGACCAGCAAGGAGGCACUUCCAGCUCACACAGUGUCCGUCUUAAUAGACUAUAUCCAAAAGAAAUUCAGUGUGUCUUCAUCUGAUGUAAAGGCAGUCAUAAGAACCAAGCUUAACAACGAGGACAAGCUAUUCAAAAAACGAAACCUUCCUGAGUAAUGGAAAUAGACUAUAAAGUGUUUAUUUGCAAAUGAUUAAUUUAUUCAUUUAAUUUCUAACUCUCAGCCGUUUAUUUAAAGUUUAAAUUAAAAUAAAAAAAACAUGUAUUGUUACAUUGCAGUUUCACUGUUGUUUUGUACAUAAAUUCAUAUAUGUGUGAAAAUAAAACUAU